UACGAAGGGGGCUAGCGUUGCUCGGAAUCACUGGGCGUAAAGCGCACGUAGGCGGCUUUCUAAGUCAGGGGUGAAAUCCUGGAGCUCAACUCCAGAACUGCCUUUGAUACUGGAGAGCUUGAGUCCGGAAGAGGUGAGUGGAACUCCGAGUGUAGAGGUGAAAUUCGUAGAUAUUCGGAAGAACACCAGUGGCGAAGGCGGCUCACUGGCCCGGUACUGACGCUGAGAUACGAAAGCGUGGGGAGCAAACAGG
rnacentral:rRNA from 1 species